CCACCGUAAAGUCUCACCAGAACUGAGUAAUCAAUGCUGAUGAAGAGCCACACCCCUUGAGCCUCCUGAACGGCAAACCCUUCACCAAUCUGGCCCAGAUUCCUGUUGGAGUUUGGUCUCAGAGAAUCCUUCAGACACUUGCUGCUGCAUUGACAUCCCCAUCCUCUUCUCAGAUCUACUGAUGACAACUUGAAGUGUGAGGCUGGCUGUCGCUGCCCCACAUAGCUGGGCAGAGAACCCAGAGGGCGCACGGCCUGGCUGAGGGCAGCUGCAGCAGCUUGCAUGUAGCUGGGCACUGAGAGUGUGUGGCGGGGCAGCACCUGGCAUGGCAGCAGCCCGACGAGGGGGUCCAGGGGGAGCCUGCAACCCCUGGGGAGAGGGCACAAACCACCUGAAAAGCAGACACAGGGAGGGUCCGGAAGAAGCUUGUGUGGCAGGAAGAGAGGGCACAGGGGCUGCCUGAAUGACAGAGCCAGCCAGUGGUGUGUGGCUAACUCUGGUGGCGUUUGAUGGUGACUCCAGCGGCUGCAAAGCUGGUGUCAAGCAGCUGCCUUGUGAUCCUGUGUCCCAUGUUGGGUACCAGAUCAAGUAAUUAUUCUUUUAUCAAUAAAAACUCAGGAGUCAGA